rnacentral:lncRNA from 1 species
GGGGGGUAUUUGAUUUAUGUGGUUCAGGGUGUGUUUGAGUAUGUGUUCAUGUAGAGGGGUGUUUGAUUUAUGUGGUUCAGGGUGAGUAUGUGUUCAUGUAGAGGGGGUAUUUGAUUUAUGUGGUUCAGGGUGUGUUUGAGUAUGUGUUCAUGUAGAGGGGGUAUUUGAUUUAUGUGGUUCAGGGUGUGUUUGAGUAUGUGUUCAUGUAGAGGGGGUAUUUGAUUUAUGUGGUUCAGGGUGUGUUUGAGUAUGUGUUCAUGUAGAGGGGUGUUUGAUUUAUGUGGUUCAGGGUGUGUUUGAGUGUGUGUUCAUGUAGAGGGGGUGUUUGAUUUAUGUGGUUCAGGGUGUGUUUGAGUGUGUGUUCAUGUAGAGGGGGUAUUUGAUUUAUGUGGGUGUGUUUGAGUGUGUGUUCAUGUAGAGGGGGUAUUUGAUUUAUGUGGUUCAGGGUGUGUUUGAGUAUGUGUUCAUGUAGAGGGGGUGUUUGAUUUAUUAGUCCGGGUUUUUUUUUUUGGUUAGUUCUAUGUUGUUAGUUCUAUGUCUGUGCUACGGUAUUGUAUUUCUAUGUUCAGUCUAGUCGUUUGUAUUUCUAUGUUUAGUUAAUUGGUGUUGGGGCCUUCAAUUGGAGACAGCUGUCUAUCGUUGCCUCUGAUUGAAGGUCCUAUAAUUAGGAUUGUGUUUGUUUUUGGGGAAUUGUGGGAGAUUGUUUCUUGUAUUGCUGUGCGUUGCCUACAAGACUGUUUUGUCGUCAGUUUAUCGUUUUUUUCGUGUGUUUGUUUCGGACAAAAUAAAAUAAAAAUGAGGCAUUCACGUACCCCGCUGCGCUUUGGUCCAUCGAUUACGACGACCGUUGACAGUUUGAAACUUUCGCAAGUGAGGAACGGGUAACCAAGGUAACCUCCCGGGUAAAAACGAUGUCUGAGGUUGCAACCGUAACCACCGGGGGGACCGGGGUUAAGCGA